rnacentral:lncRNA from 1 species
ACGAAAAUAAUUGCGGUAUUGUUAAUGGAGGUUGUAUAUGAAAGUUAAAACUUCAAUGUUGAUGGAAUGAAAGAGAACAUUUGGGCAUCAAUUGUGGUAUUGUUAUCGUGAUUUUGGGCAACAAUUUAGGAAUAUUGAAUUGUGUAAAGUAGUGGGUAGUUAUGUAUCAGAAAAUAGACUACUUUAAUUACUUAUAAAGAAUUUUUGUAAUUAAUUUAGU